GGGCGUUAAGUUGCAGGGUAUAGACCCGAAACCCGGUGAUCUAGCCAUGGGCAGGUUGAAGGUUGGGUAACACUAACUGGAGGACCGAACCGACUAAUGUUGAAAAAUUAGCGGAUGACCUGUGGCUGGGGGUGAAAGGCCAAUCAAACCGGGAGAUAGCUGGUUCUCCCCGAAAGCUAUUUAGGUAGCGCCUCGUGAAUUCAUCUCCGGGGGUAGAGCACUGUUUCGGCUAGGGGGCCAUCCCGGCUUACCAACCCGAUGCAAACUGCGAAUACCGGAGAAUGUUAUCACGGGAGACACACGGCGGGUGCUAACGUCCGUCGUGAAGAGGGAAACAACCCAGACCGCCAGCUAAGGUCCCAAAGUCAUGGUUAAGUGGGAAACGAUGUGGGAAGGCCCAGACAGCCAGGAUGUUGGCUUAGAAGCAGCCAUCAUUUAAAGAAAGCGUAAUAGCUCACUGGUCGAGUCGGCCUGCGCGGAAGAUGUAACGGGGCUAAACCAUGCACCGAAGCUGCGGCAGCGACACUGUGUGUUGUUGGGUAGGGGAGCGUUCUGUAAGCCUGCGAAGGUGUCCCGUGAGGGAUGCUGGAGGUAUCAGAAGUGCGAAUGCUGACAUAAGUAACGAUAAAGCGGGUGAAAAGCCCGCUCGCCGGAAGACCAAGGGUUCCUGUCCAACGUUAAUCGGGGCAGGGUGAGUCGACCCCUAAGGCGAGGCCGAAAGGCGUAGUCGAUGGGAAACGGGUUAAUAUUCCCGUACUUGGUGUUACUGCGAAGGGGGGACGGAGAAGGCUAUGUUGGCCGGGCGACGGUUGUCCCGGUUUAAGCGUGUAGGCUGGUUUUCCAGGCAAAUCCGGAAAAUCAAGGCUGAGGCGUGAUGACG
rnacentral:rRNA from 1 species